AUUGAACGCUGGCGGCAGGCCUAACACAUGCAAGUCGAGCGAGCGGCGGACGGGUGAGUAAUGUAUGGGGACUGCCCGUUAGAGGGGGAUCACUACUGGAAACGGUGGCUAAUCCCGCAUACUGUUGGAUUACCCAGAUGGGAUUAGCUAGUGGGUAAGGUAAUGGCUUACCUAGGCGACGAUCCCUAGCUGGGCUGAGAGGUUGAUCAGCCACACUGGGACGGAGACACGGCCCAGACGCCUACGGAGGCAGCAGUGGGGAAGAUUGGACAAUGGGCGAAAGCCUGAGGCAGCCAUGCCGCGUGUGUGAAGAAGGCCCUAGGGUUGUAAAGUACUUUCAGUCGGGAGGCGUUACCGACAGAAGAAGCACCGGCUAACUCCGUGCCAGCCGCCGCGGUAAUUC
rnacentral:rRNA from 1 species